GAUGAACGCUGGCGGCGUGCCUAAUACAUGCAAGUCGAGCGAACAGACGAGGAGCUUGCUCCUCUGACGUUAGCGGCGGACGGGUGAGUAACACGUGGAUAACCUACCUAUAAGACUGGGAUAACUUCGGGAAACCGGAGCUAAUACCGGAUAAUAUAUUGAACCGCAUGGUUCAAUAGUGAAAGACGGUUUUGCUGUCACUUAUAGAUGGAUCCGCGCCGCAUUAGCUAGUUGGUAAGGUAACGGCUUACCAAGGCCACGAUGCGUAGCCGACCUGAGAGGGUGAUCGGCCACACUGGAACUGAGACACGGUCCAGACUCCUACGGGAGGCAGCAGUAGGGAAUCUUCCGCAAUGGGCGAAAGCCUGACGGAGCAACGCCGCGUGAGUGAUGAAGGUCUUCGGAUCGUAAAACUCUGUUAGUAGGGAAGAACAAAUGUGUAAGUAAAUAUGCACGUCUUGACGGUACCUAAACAGAAAGCCACGGCUAACUACGUG
rnacentral:rRNA from 1 species